rnacentral:rRNA from 1 species
UACGUAGGGACCGAGCGUUGUCCGGAAUCAUUGGGCGUAAAGAGCGUGUAAGCGGCCACUUAAGUCCUGCGUGAAAUCCUGCGGCUCAACCGCAGGCGGUCGUGGGAAACUGGGUGGCUAGAGUGCGGGAGAGGAGAGUGGAAUUCCUGGUGUAGCGGUGGAAUGCGCAGAUAUCAGGAGGAACACCGAUGGCGAAGGCAGGUCUCUGGGCUGUAACUGACGCUGAGGAGCGAAAGCAUGGGGAGCGAACAGG